rfam:Phaeosphaeria nodorum SN15 scaffold_5, whole genome shotgun sequence.
CCCGCUGAACUUAAGCAUAUCAAUAAGCGGAGGAAAAAGAAACCAACAGGGAUUGCCCUAGUAACGGCGAGUGAAGCGGCAACAGCUCAAAUUUGAAAUCUGGCUCUUUCAGAGUCCGAGUUGUAAUUUGCAGAGGGCGCUUUGGCGUUGGCAGCGGUCCAAGUUCGGAUUUGGAACAGGACGUCACAGAGGGUGAGAAUCCCGUACGUGGUCGCUAGCCUUCGCCGUGUAAAGCCCCUUCGACGAGUCGAGUUGUUUGGGAAUGCAGCUCUAAAUGGGAGGUAAAUUUCUUCUAAAGCUAAAUACUGGCCAGAGACCGAUAGCGCACAAGUAGAGUGAUCGAAAGAUGAAAAGCACUUUGGAAAGAGAGUCAAAUAGCACGUGAAAUUGUUGAAAGGGAAGCGCUUGCAGCCAGACUUGCCUGUAGUUGCUUAUCUGGACUUUUGUCCAGUGCACUCUUCUGCGGGCAGGCCAGCAUCAGUUUGGGCGGUUGGAUAAAGGUCUCUGUCAUGUACCUCCUUUCGGGGAGGCCUUAUAGGGGAGACGACAUGCAACCAGCCUGGACUGAGGUCCGCGCAUCUGCUAGGAUGCUGGCGUAAUGGCUGUAAGCGGCCCGUCUUGAAACACGGACCAAAGGAGUCUAACAUCUAUGCGAGUGUUUGGGUGUCAAGCCCAGACGCGUAAUGAAAGUGAACGGAGGUGGGAACCUUUUAGGUGCACCAUCGACCGAUCCUGAUGUCUUCGGAAGGAUUUGAGUAAGAGCAUAGCUGUUGGGACCCGAAACACGAUGGUGAACUAUGCUUGAAUAGGGUGAAGCCAGAGGAAACUCUGGUGGAGGCUCGCAGCGGUUCUGACGUGCAAAUCGAUCGUCAAAUUUGGGCAUAGGGGCGAAAGACUAAUCGAACUAUCUAGUAGCUGGUUCCUGCCGAAGUUUCCCUCAGGAUAGCAGUAACGUAUUCAGUUUUAUGAGGUAAAGCGAAUGAUUAGAGGCCUGGGGGUUGAAACAACCUUCACCUAUUCUCAAACUUUAAAUAUGUAAGAAGUCCUUGUUACUUGAUUGAACGUGGACACUUGAAUGUACCGUUACUAGUGGGCCAUUUUUGGUAAGCAGAACUGGCGAUGCGGGAUGAACCGAACGCGGGGGUUAAGGUGCCCAGAAAUAUACGCUCAUCAGACACCCACAAAAGGUGUUAGUUCAUCUAGACAGCAGGACGGAUGGCCAUGGAAGUCGGAAUCCGCUAAGGAGUGUGUAACAACUCACCUGCCGAAUGAACUAGCCCUGAAAAUGGAUGGCGCUCAAGCGUAUUACCCAUACCCCGCCGCCGGGGCAGAAUUUAUGCCCCGGCGAGUAGGCAGGCGUGGAGGCUCGUGACGAAGCCUUGGGGGUGACCCCGGGUCGAACGGCCUCUAGUGCAGAUCUUGGUGGUAGUAGCAAAUACUCAAAUGAGAACUUUGAGGACUGAAGUGGGGAAAGGUUCCGUGUGAACAGCAGUUGGACACGGGUUAGUCGAUCCUAAGAGAUAGGGUAGUUCCGUUUUAAUGUUGGCGCUUGCGCCACGCCCUCGAAAGGGAAGCCGGUUAACAUUCCGGCACCUGGAUGUAGAUUCUCCGAGGAAACGCAACUGAGAGCGGAGACCUUGGCGGGAGCCCCAAGAAGAGUUCUCUCUUCUUCUUAACGGUCCCUCAGGGCGGAAAUCGGUUUGUCCGGAGCUAGGGUUCAAUGGCCGGAAGAGCGCUGCACUUUUGUGGCGUUUGGUGCGCUCCCGACGAGCCUUGAAAAUCCGCUUGAAGAAAUAGUUUUUACGCCAGGUCGUACUCAUAACCGCAGCAGGUCUCCAAGGUGAAAAGCCUCUAGUU